rnacentral:rRNA from 1 species
UACGUAGGGGGCUAGCGUUGUCCGGAAUCACUGGGCGUAAAGAGCGUGUAGGCGGCCCGGCAAGUCCGCUGUGAAAGUCGGGGGCUCAACCCUCGAAUGCCGGUGGAUACUGUCGGGCUAGAGUGCGGAAGAGGCGAGUGGAAUUCCUGGUGUAGCGGUGAAAUGCGCAGAUAUCAGGAGGAACACCGGUGGCGAAGGCGACUCUCUGGGACGGUACUGACGCUGAGACGCGAAAGCGUGGGGAGCGAACGGG